UUACCUUUGUGUAUUCUACUUCAUGACAGAGAGGAGUUAACGACCUUAAAAUUCAAGAUGAGUGAAACAUUUUAUGGUAGAGUGACUCACGAGGAAAUUAACAAACUAGUUCGUCAAUAUAAAGGAAAACUGGCUGAUCCGUUAAAACGCAACCUUCAAAAACUACGACUUCAAAUACACAAAGCUUUAAAUGGAGAGGAAGAUUACCAUGUUUACAUUUAUAUUUCUGACGAGCUUGACAACCCAAUAAAAUUUGAAAAUGGGUCAGGAGACAAUGAAUUAGUUAUCGAUAUAGAGGAAGACGGAAUCGAGUGCACAUGGACAAAGAGGUCAUGGUGGAAAAGAACCAAAGAUUUUUUCAAAGAAGCAGCAAAUGAAAUUAUAGAUGGUUUGCGUUCUUUAUGGGGAGGCAUUAAAGCUAUAGGUGGAUCGGCUAUAAAAGCAAUUGCAUGGAUAGUUUGACCUGUUCUCAAACACUAUAACACUAAAUCAAAGCUUUCAAAAUUAAAAUGUAAAAGUUUUAUAGUUACAAGAUAAAAUAUUCAUAGAAGAGUUUAUAUUUUAUAUUUUGUUGUAAAGUUGUAGUAUUUUCUCUGUGUAUCAAAUUAUCAUACCUAAAUAGAUAAAACGGAGGUCAUAUCUUAUAAUGUUUAAACAGUUUUAUAUAUUUGAAUUAUCAGAUUAGUUUUUUUUUUAUAAUUCAUUGAAUUGAGCUGUAAACGAAUAAUAAAAUGCAAAAUACAA